AUGUGUGUGUGCCCAUGUGCAUACUGUGCAUGCAUGUAUGCAUGUGUACAUGUAUAUGUGCAUGUGCAUGCAUGUGUG
rnacentral:miRNA from 1 species